rnacentral:lncRNA from 1 species
CCGUGAGCAGCCUGGAUGGACUGAGGACAGCGAAGUUGAGCUUCGGCCUCUGAGGUGCUUUUCGUGUCUCCUACCCUGGACUCCAUCAGGUCGUUAGAGUAUAUUGUAGGCAAUGCCACUCAAGGAUGUUCGAAAGCAAAGCGAAUGGUUGGACUGUGCAGUAAACUAACAGCCUGCCGGCUUUGCUCUACUCCGGAAUGGCUCUCAGGCCUUUGGGGGAUCUUUGAAGGAAAGAAUGAUUCCUACAUGGGGGAAGUAAAGUAUAAGAAAUAUCUGGAUCACAGUACUGUAACAAAAAGUAUAUAAGUCCUCAAAAGUCGAAAGAGCCAACUUGAAAGUAGUAAGAAAAUCUGAUGAUGUUUCAGCCUCAAAAUGAACAAUGGUAAUACUAGAAUACAAUCCAUAGAAUAAAAUUAGAAUCAAUAAUUCCAUGCUAUUAUGCACAAAGUGAAAUAGGAAAAGAAAACUUUUUUUCUUACAGUAAAAGCAAACAGAACUAUAAAAGGGAUGACUUCUCAUUUGGCAAAUUGUCAAC